AAGUCGUAACAAGGUUUCCGUAGGUGAACCUGCGGAAGGAUCAUUAGUGGAAAGUUCAUUCUUACACUUCUUAACUCUUAUGUGAACCCCCCAACUUGGCAUGUUCCAGGGAUGAGUUUCUUGAGUGAGUUCUUCGCUCUCGAGAGGUAUUCCUGGCCCAUGACAUUUAGUAAGUACUUGGUAGUCGCUAGCCUCGGGAUUUGGGUGUCCUGACACCGUUAGGUUAGAGCCUUGGCUCUGCCUAGACUUCCAGGAAAGGCGUGCUGUAUUGCUAAUUGACACCGUGAGUGACGCUUUUUAGUAUUUUGAUUGCCUGAAACAUCAUUAGUAAUAAUGAAAUACAACCUUUAACAAUGGAUCUCUUGGCUCCU
rnacentral:misc_RNA from 1 species